CGCGGGGUGGAGCAGUCUGGUAGCUCGUUGGGCUCAUAACCCAAAGGUCGGAGGUUCAAAUCCUUCCCCCGCAACCA
rnacentral:tRNA from 1 species